rnacentral:rRNA from 1 species
AACGAACGCUGGCGGCGCGUUUUAAGCAUGCAAGUCGAGCGGUAAGGUCCUUCGGGACCCCAGAGCGGCGGACGGGUGAGUAACACGUGGAUAAUCUGCCUUCCAGUCCGGGAUAGCACAUGGAAACAUGUGAUAAUACCGGAUACGAUGUGCCUGUCACAUGGCGGGUGCAGGAAAGGUCCUGCGGGAUCGCUGGGAGAUGAGUCCGCGGCCCAUUAGCUUGUUGGCGGGGUAAAGGCCCACCAAGGCGACGAUGGGGUAGCCGGCCUGAGAGGGUGGACGGCCACAUUGGGACUGAGACACGGGUCCAAACUCCUACGGGAGGCAGCAGUGAGGAAUAUUGGUCAAUGGGCGAGAGCCUGAACCAGCCAAGUAGCGUGCA